GGGUGGAUAUUGGACCCUUGACUCGAAUCUAGAAAGCUCAUACCAAGCACAAGUAAACAGUUAAAAAGAUCCAAAGAGGAAUUAAGGAUCAGUGGGAGCAACAUUAAGUGGCUGAGAAGCAUCUCACUAUGCAAGAGGACUCCAACUCCCCAUUCUCUCCCGUGGACAGUUCCAGCAACAGCGAAGGGGAACAAGACCAAGACCCCCAGGAGAAGAGGAAUGGUAGGAAAAGGCGUUCGGGACAGAGAUCCCAGAGGCCGAGCUCUGGGAAGAAAGGGAUGAAGAUCUCUCCACUGGCCCAGAGCCUGGAAGACAUCCAGAGCCAGAGAGUGGUGGCCAACGUGAGGGAGAGGCAAAGGACACAGUCUCUGAAUGAUGCCUUCGCCACUCUGCGGAAGAUCAUCCCCACUCUGCCCUCUGACAAACUGAGCAAGAUCCAGAUCCUCAAACUGGCCACAAGGUACAUCGACUUCCUCUACCAAGUGCUCCAGAACGACGAGAUGGACAGUAAGGUCACCAGUUGCAGUUACCUGUCCCACGAGAGACUCAGUUACGCUUUUUCUGUCUGGAGAAUGGAGGAGUCGUGGCCACUGUCUGCUGGACCUUAGCAUCUCCUCCCCACCACCAACCCCUCUCCCACCACCACUCCACACCCCACCACUCCCGGAGACAUUCGUAUAAAUUGUACCUGGGGAUCUCUCUCUCUCUCUCCCUCUCUCUGCAACGGUUGGUUCUUGAGGAAUAUUUUUGUUAUUAGACGAAAAUGAAGAGCACUUAAACCUCAGGUUGGGCGCUAUUUGGAAGAGACUUUAAACCCUAAACCCGGAGUUUAUGACAACGUUAACCUCCCCCUCCCUC